UGCAGCCAUGUCAAAUUCAGUGCCUACUCUACCAAUGGCAGGCACUGGCCCAAAAGGCUGCCAUAGAAAUACUGUGACUCAUGGGCCCUGUACCCUUGCCUGGGCUCAGGGAUAAAUUUGGUCACAGACAUCA
rnacentral:snoRNA from 1 species